CAGAAGUGUACUCAUCCAUAGCUCUCUUGCUGUCACCUGGAAAUAUAAAAUAAAUAUAAAGAUAGUGCAAUGUAAAAGAUAAAAGCUUACCGACGUAAGGGACGUAUUUGAUGACGAUACAGUGGUCCGGCUUCUCUCCAGGCUUAUAGAGAAUCUUGUUGGAUUCCACCAUAUCAUCUACAACGUUACUCUUGGAGAUCUGUGUGUGAGAUCGAUUAUGUAUGUACAAGUUAAAAGAAAAGGCGAGGGGGGAGGAAGAAAGGAGGAGAAAGCGAGAGAGAAACAUAUGUAUAAUAAAAAUCAAAUAUAUCAUACAUUUUCAUUUUCUUC